rnacentral:rRNA from 1 species
GAUGAACGCUGGCGGCGUGCCUAAUACAUGCAAGUCGAGCGAACGGACGAGAAGCUUGCUUCUCUGAUGUUAGCGGCGGACGGGUGAGUAACACGUGGAUAACCUACCUAUAAGACUGGGAUAACUUCGGGAAACCGGAGCUAAUACCGGAUAAUAUUUUGAACCGCAUGGUUCAAAAGUGAAAGACGGUCUUGCUGUCACUUAUAGAUGGAUCCGCGCUGCAUUAGCUAGUUGGUAAGGUAACGGCUUACCAAGGCAACGAUGCAUAGCCGACCUGAGAGGGGGAUAGGCGACAUUGGAGCUGGAACACGGUCAAGACUCCUAAGGGAGGCAGCAGUAGGGAAUCUUACGCAAUAGGCGAAAGCCUGACAGAGCGACGCCACGUGAGUGAUGAAGGUCUUGGGAUCGUAAAACUCUGUUAUUAGGGAAGAACAUAUGUGUAAGUAAAUGUGGACAUCUUGACGGUAACUAAUAAGAAAGCCACGGCUAACUACGUG